UCAGCCACACUGGAACUGAGACACGGUCCAGACUCCUACGGGAGGCAGCAGUGGGGAAUAUUGCACAAUGGGCGCAAGCCUGAUGCAGCCAUGCCGCGUGUGUGAAGAAGGCCUUCGGGUUGUAAAGCACUUUCAGUCGUGAGGAAGGUAGUGUAGUUAAUAGCUGCAUUAUUUGACGUUAGCGACAGAAGAAGCACCGGCUAACUCCGUGCCAGCAGCCGCGGUAAUACGGAGGGUGCGAGCGUUAAUCGGAAUUACUGGGCGUAAAGCGCAUGCAGGUGGUUUGUUAAGUCAGAUGUGAAAGCCCGGGGCUCAACCUCGGAAUAGCAUUUGAAACUGGCAGACUAGAGUACUGUAGAGGGGGGUAGAAUUUCAGGUGUAGCGGUGAAAUGCGUAGAGAUCUGAAGGAAUACCGGUGGCGAAGGCGGCCCCCUGGACAGAUACUGACACUCAGAUGCGAAAGCGUGGGGAGCAAACAGGAUUAGAUACCCUGGUAGUCCACGCCGUAAACGAUGUCUACUUGGAGGUUGUGGCCUUGAGCCGUGGCUUUCGGAGCUAACGCGUUAAGUAGACCGCCUGGGGAGUACGGUCGCAAGAUUAAAACUCAAAUGAAUUGACGGGGGCCCGCACAAGCGGUGGAGCAUGUGGUUUAAUUCGAUGCAACGCGAAGAACCUUACCUACUCUUGACAUCCAGAGAACUUUCCAGAGAUGGAUUGGUGCCUUCGGGAACUCU
rnacentral:rRNA from 1 species